rnacentral:rRNA from 1 species
GAUGAACGCUGGCGGCGUGCCUAAUACAUGCAAGUCGAGCGAACAGACGAGGAGCUUGCUCCUCUGUCGUUAGCGGCGGACGGGUGAGUAACACGUGGAUAACCUACCUAUAAGACUGGGAUAACUUCGGGAAACCGGAGCUAAUACCGCAUAAUAUAUUGAACCGCAUGGUUCAAUAGUGAAAGAUGGUUUUGCUGUCCCUUAUAAAUGGAUCCCGUUCGAAUUGGCUAGUUGGUAAGGAAACGGCCAACCAAGGGAAGGCUCCUAAGCCGACCUGGGGGGGGGACCGGCCCCACUGGAACUGGGACCCGCUCCAGACUCCUACGGGAGGCAGCAGUAGGGAAUCUUCCGCAAUGGGCGAAAGCCUGACGGAGCAACGCCGCGUGAGUGAUGAAGGUCUUCGGAUCGUAAAACUCUGUUAUUAGGGAAGACCAAAUGUGUAAUUAACUAUGCACGUCUUGACGGUACCUACUCAGAAAGCCACGGCUAACUACGUG